rnacentral:rRNA from 1 species
GAUGAACGCUAGCGGCAGGCUUAACACAUGCAAGUCGAGGGGCAGCAGGGGUAGCAAUACUCGCUGGCGACCGGCAAACGGGUGCGGAACACGUACGCAACAUACCUUGAACUGGGGCAUAGCCUUCUGAAAAGGAGAUUAACACCCCAUAAGAUAGUAGAGUGGCAUCACUUCGCUAUUAAAAAUUUAUUGGUUCGAGAUUGGCGUGCGUCCUAUUAGCUAGUUGGCGGGGUAAAGGCCCACCAAGGCGACGAUAGGUAGCUGAUGUGAGAGCAUGAUCAGCCACACGGGCACUGAGACACGGGCCCACUCCUACGGGAGGCAGCAGUGAGGAAUAUUGGCCAAUGGACGCAAGUCUGAACCAGCCAUGCCGCGUGAAGGAUGAAGGCGUUCUGCGUUGUAAACUUCUUUUAUUGGGGAAGAAACCUGAGAUUUCUAUUUCAGCCGACGGUACCCAAGGAAUAAGCACCGGCUAACUCCGUGCCAG